GACGAACGCUGGCGGCGUGCUUAACACAUGCAAGUCGAACGGAAAGGCCCUGCUUUUGUGGGGUGCUCGAGUGGCGAACGGGUGAGUAACACGUGAGUAACCUGCCCUUGACUUUGGGAUAACUUCAGGAAACUGGGGCUAAUACCGGAUAGGAGCUCCUGCUGCAUGGUGGGGGUUGGAAAGUUUCGGCGGUUGGGGAUGGACUCGCGGCUUAUCAGCUUGUUGGUGGGGUAGUGGCUUACCAAGGCUUUGACGGGUAGCCGGCCUGAGAGGGUGACCGGCCACAUUGGGACUGAGAUACGGCCCAGACUCCUACGGGAGGCAGAAGUGGGGAAUAUUGCACAAUGGGCGGAAGCCUGAUGCAGCAACGCCGCGUGCGGGAUGACGGCCUUCGGGUUGUAAACCGCUUUCGCCUGUGACGAAGCGUGAGUGACGGUAAUGGGUAAAGAAGCAUCGGCUAACUACGUG
rnacentral:rRNA from 1 species